rnacentral:rRNA from 1 species
GUCGUACGCACUGGCCCAACUGAUUGAUGGUGCUUGCACCUGAUUGACGAUGGAUCACCAGUGAGUGGCGGACGGGUGAGUAACACGUAGGUAACCUGCCCCGGAGCGGGGGAUAACAUUUGGAAACAGAUGCUAAUACCGCAUAACAACAAAAGCCACAUGGCUUUUGUUUGAAAGAUGGCUUUGGCUAUCACUCUGGGAUGGACCUGCGGUGCAUUAGCUAGUUGGUAAGGUAACGGCUUACCAAGGCGAUGAUGCAUAGCCGAGUUGAGAGACUGAUCGGCCACAAUGGAACUGAGACACGGUCCAUACUCCUACGGGAGGCAGCAGUAGGGAAUCUUCCACAAUGGGCGCAAGCCUGAUGGAGCAACACCGCGUGAGUGAAGAAGGGUUUCGGCUCGUAAAGCUCUGUUGUUGGAGAAGAACGUGCGUGAGAGUAACUGUUCACGCAGUGACGGUAUCCAACCAGAAAGUCACGGCUAACUACGUGCCAGCAGCCGCGGUAAUACGUAGGUGGCAAGCGUUAUCCGGAUUUAUUGGGCGUAAAGCGAGCGCAGGCGGUUGCUUAGGUCUGAUGUGAAAGCCUUCGGCUUAACCGAAGAAGUGCAUCGGAAACCGGGCGACUUGAGUGCAGAAGAGGACAGUGGAACUCCAUGUGUAGCGGUGGAAUGCGUAGAUAUAUGGAAGAACACCAGUGGCGAAGGCGGCUGUCUGGUCUGCAACUGACGCUGAGGCUCGAAAGCAUGGGUAGCGAACAGGAUUAGAUACCCUGGUAGUCCAUGCCGUAAACGAUGAGUGCUAGGUGUUGGAGGGUUUCCGCCCUUCAGUGCCGGAGCUAACGCAUUAAGCACUCCGCCUGGGGAGUACGACCGCAAGGUUGAAACUCAAAGGAAUUGACGGGGGCCCGCACAAGCGGUGGAGCAUGUGGUUUAAUUCGAAGCUACGCGAAGAACCUUACCAGGUCUUGACAUCUUGCGCUAACCUUAGAGAUAAGGCGUUCCCUUCGGGGACGCAAUGACAGGUGGUGCAUGGUCGUCGUCAGCUCGUGUCGUGAGAUGUUGGGUUAAGUCCCGCAACGAGCGCAACCCUUGUUACUAGUUGCCAGCAUUAAGUUGGGCACUCUAGUGAGACUGCCGGUGACAAACCGGAGGAAGGUGGGGACGACGUCAGAUCAUCAUGCCCCUUAUGACCUGGGCUACACACGUGCUACAAUGGACGGUACAACGAGUCGCAAGCUCGCGAGAGUAAGCUAAUCUCUUAAAGCCGUUCUCAGUUCGGACUGUAGGCUGCAACUCGCCUACACGAAGUCGGAAUCGCUAGUAAUCGCGGAUCAGCAUGCCGCGGUGAAUACGUUCCCGGGCCUUGUACACACCGCCCGUCACACCAUGGGAG